AGAGUUUGAUCAUGGCUCAGGACGAACGCUGGCGGCGUGCCUAAUACAUGCAAGUCGAACGGUCUUUUCUAUGGAAGCUUGCUUCCGCUGAAAAGAUAGUGGCGAACGGGUGAGUAGCACGUGGGUAACCUGCCCAUAAGAGGGGGAUAACAUCCGGAAACGGGUGCUAAUACCGCAUAGUUUUCUUGAUCGCAUGAUUGAGAAAGGAAAGACGGCCUUUGUGCUGUCGCUUAUGGAUGGACCCGCGGCGUAUUAGUUAGUUGGUGAGGUAACGGCUCACCAAGGCGACGAUGGGUAGCCGACCUGAGGGGGUGAUCGGCCACACUGGAACUGAGACACGGUCCAGACUCCUACGGGAGGCAGCAGUGGGGAAUAUUGCACAAUGGGCGAAAGCCUGAUGCAGCAACGCCGCGUGAGCGAUGAAGGCCUUCGGGUCGUAAAGCUCUGUCCUAAGGGAAGAUAAUGACGGUACCUUAGGAGGAAGCCCCGGCUAACUACGUGCCAGCAGCCGCGGUAAUACGUAGGGGGCAAGCGUUAUCCGGAAUCACUGGGCGUAAAGGGUGCGUAGGCGGCUGAUAAAGUCCGAGGUGAAAGGCUACGGCUUAACCGUAGUAAGCCUUGGAAACUUAUCGGCUUGAGUACAGGAGAGGAAAGUGGAAUUCCUAGUGUAGCGGUGAAAUGCGUAGAUAUUAGGAGGAACACCAGUGGCGAAGGCGACUUUCUGGACUAUUACUGACGGUGAGGCACGAAAGCGUGGGGAGCGAACAGGAUUAGAUACCCUGGUAGUCCACGCCGUAAACGAUGGGUACUAAGUGUCGGAGGCUUGACCUUCGGUGCUGUAGUUAACGCGUUAAGUACCCCGCCUGGGGAGUACGGUCGCAAGGCUGAAACUCAAAGAAAUUGACGGGGGCCCGCACAAGCGGUGGAGUAUGUGGUUUAAUUCGAUGCAACGCGAAGAACCUUACCCAGGCUUGACAUCCUGCGAAUGCCCAAGAAAUUAGGCAGUGCCCUUCGGGGAAUGCAGUGACAGGUGCUGCAUGGCUGUCGUCAGCUCGUGCCGUGAGGUGUUGGGUUAAGUCCCGCAACGAGCGCAACCCCUAUCCUUAGUUGCCACCAGGUAAUGCUGAGCACUCUAGGGAGACUGCCCGGGUUAACCGGGAGGAAGGUGGGGACGACGUCAAGUCAUCAUGGCCCUUACGCCUGGGGCUACACACGUACUACAAUGGUGCAUACAAAGGGUUGCGAUACCGUGAGGUGGAGCUAAUCCCAUAAAGUGCAUCCCAGUCCGGAUAGGAGUCUGCAACUCGACUCCUUGAAGUCGGAAUCGCUAGUAAUCCCGGAUCAGCAUGCCGGGGUGAAUGCGUUCCCGGGCCUUGUACACACCGCCCGUCACACCACGAAAGUUGGUUCUACCCGAAACCAGUGAGCUAACCAGCAAUGGAGGCAGCUGUCUACGGUGGGGCUGAUGAUUGGGGUGAAGUCGUAACAAGGUAAC
rnacentral:rRNA from 1 species